UAUCUGCAUCUACAUCUGCUUUGGUUGGGUUUAUAUAAAAUGCUUCAUAAUGCUUUGAAAUCUUAACUAUCAUUGAAAAGAUGAAUUUAUACAAACACUUAUCUGCAAAACAACUUGAAGAUUUAGAUGAUUUGAUGUCUGAAAGAAUUGCUGGCAGAAAACUCUGUCAUGAAUGGUAUGAUACUGACUCAUCAAAGUCUAUCAUUUAUGAUGGUAGACUAGAAAAAGCAAAAGACAAAAUGAUAGAAUUUACACUAUUUCUUACUGAAAACAAGAUAAAACUGAUAUUAAAGCUGUUGAGCAUAAGAUGAAAAAAAUUCAGCUAGCUGCUGAUAUUGUAUUAGAUGAGUUAAUAUUUUCUUAGUUUGAAUAUGAAAUAAUGUAAAAAUGCUUGAAAAAAAAGUUCUGCAAGUUUUGUGGCUUGCAAACAAGUACAACAAAUUUUGUGGCUUGCCAUUAGGUAAAGCAAGUUUCGUGGCUUGCAAUUAGGUACAGCAAGUUUUGUGGCUUGCAAAUAGGUACAGCAAGUUUUGUGGCUUGCAAACAAGUACCGCAAGUUUUGUGUCUUGGAAAUAGGUACAGCAAGUUUUGUGGCUUGCAAAUUUUUUUUGAUAGAUGGCUCUGGCUUACCUUCACAUGGUGUCUAUCAUUAAAAAUGAUUUAUUUAGUUCAUAAAUGGAAUUCAAAACAUAAAUCAUUUACUAAAAGCCAAGACAAUAGUUAAUUACUUUUUUUUAUUUCAAAAGACUUGCUGCUUUGUGUUUUUUUUUAGGUUGGAGUUCAACAACAAACUUGCUUUACCUAAUGGCAAGCCACAAAACUUGUUGUACUUGUUUGCAAGCCACAAAACUUGCUGUAUCUAUUUGCAGUCUUGCAACAUGGUAUUGGGCGGAAGGAGGGCGGCUUGCACCCUCUUUUAUGAAGGCAAUUUAUACACCACUGUAACAUGGUAUUGGGCGGAAGGGGGGCGGCUUACACCCCCUUCCAUGAUGUCAAUUUAUACACCACUAGUUACUAUUUUUCCAAGUAUCGAAAUAUAUUUUUUAUUUUUUAUA